rnacentral:tRNA from 1 species
AAAAAGAUAAGCUAAAUAAGCUAGUGGGUUCAUACCCCAAUUAUAAAGGUUCUAAUCCUUUUCUUUUUA